CUGCCUCAUCCUCCCCAGCGCUGGAAUUGCAGGCGAGCGCCACCACACCCAGUUCAUUGUGUUUGCUUUGUAUCUCUGGCAGGUCACGAAAUGUUUCUCAGCCUCAUCCGUAAAAUGGAAUGAAUUUUACUAGUACUGUGUGGAAAUGUUCGCAGGUUGUUGCUCUUGCUAUUUCACUUCACUAAGACUCUGAGCUGUUUACUCCUAUUUUAGCAGAUAACGAUCCUGACUCUGACUCUGGUGAUGCCAAAGGCCUGCUCCGCAUCUGACACCGGGCUCUUGACUCCCAAUCCCACAAGAUUUCACACGCCUCAACUUGAAGCUUCCUCCUCCAAGGACCAGGCAAUCGCCAAGCCCCUUCAGACAUUCCAGAAAGGAGCAGAUUUUCGUGACUGCCUGUGUCUCUUCUGGCCCAAUCAGCAGUUUAAAUAUAUGCUUUUGUGGACAGCUUUCUCUUCCCAGGUCACUGACUCCUGGUUAAUUUCAAUCUAGCUGCUUUAAUGAGCAGGAAACAUGGGCCAGACCAAGGGCUAAAGCCAAGGAUGGAUUAACUGUGACCAUCCCUGCCCUUCAUGAAGGAUAACUCCCUUCUCAAGCACUGAACAGUCAGUGAAGGCCUAGCAUGAGUGGAUGAACUAAGGUUUCUGAAGGGUUGAAGAAGCAGUGGCUGUCAUCCUCCGGGACUCCUGUGAAGAAGACACCAGCAUGUCUUUACUUGCGCAGCCAACUUGUGAAAUUCUUGCCAGAUGUUCCACUCUCCCAGCUGAACAGUGUGUGGGGAGAAGAUGUAGGCCACAGAGCGGGAGUAAGCUGCGCUGAUGCACAUUAUCUCUGCGCUUCUGGGAGAAGGCACUGUGUUUCCUGGCUCCACUCUUCAAGAUUGGACCUGACGCUCGUGCUGCAGCCCUCACACACCGUCACCACUGAAGACAAACAGCCAGAGCGGUGUUCCCAGAAAAGCAGGAAGAGUUCUGCAGCAGCUUUGUGGCUUCCCUGAGGACUCACCUGAUAGCAGGCCCAGCUCUGGUAAUGUUAGUUUUGGAAUGCUAGGGUCUUGGCUUCCAGGUUCUAUCUCAAAUAAGGAAUUGAGCGAAACCCACAAAAAAGGUGACAACGUUUAUUUGAAAAUUUAAAAGGACUAAGAGAGAAACUGGCUCUGCAGAGCGAAGUUGGGGCAAAGUAAAAGAGAAAAAUAAAAACCAAAAUAAAACUACACCCAGGGACAGAGGUCAGCCCACA